GACGAACGCUGGCGGCGUGCUUAACACAUGCAAGUCGAACGGAAAGGCCCUACGGGGUACUCGCGUGGGGAAGGGGCGGGUAACACGUGGGUGAUUUGAUCAGCACUCUGUGAUAAGCCUGGGAAACUGGGUCUAAUACCGUAUAGGACCACGAUCUUCUUGACGUGUGGGGGCAAGCGUUUGCGGCGUGGGAUGGGUCCGAGGCCGAUCAGCUCGUUAGUGGGGUAAUGGCUUACCAAGGCGACGACGGGUCGCCGGCCUGAGAGCGUGGCCGCCCACACUGGGCCUACGGUACGCCCCAGUCUCCUACGGGAGGCAGCGGUCGAGAGCAUUACGCAGUGGGCGCAAGCGUGUUGCGGCGGCCUCGCGUGCGUAAUGACCUCCUACGGGUGGAGAACCUCUUUGUCCAGAAACGAGGCGUAAGUGACGGUACCUGAUGAGGAAGCACCGGCCAACUACGUG
rnacentral:rRNA from 1 species